rnacentral:rRNA from 1 species
UGGGGAAUAUUGCGCAAUGGGCGAAAGCCUGACGCAGCGACGCCGCGUGAGGGAUGAAGGUCUUCGGAUCGUAAACCUCUGUCAGCAGGGAAGAACGGUCACUGUGCUAAUCAGCAGUGAAUUGACGGUACCUGCAAAAGGGAAGCACCGGCUAACUCCGUGCC